AUUGAACGCUGGCGGCAUGCUUUACACAUGCAAGUCGAACGGUAACAGGCCGCAAGGUGCUGACGAGUGGCGAACGGGUGAGUAAUGCAUCGGAACGUGCCCAGUCGUGGGGGAUAACUGCUCGAAAGAGCAGCUAAUACCGCAUACGAUCUAUGGAUGAAAGCGGGGGACCGUAAGGCCUCGCGCGAUUGGAGCGGCCGAUGUCAGAUUAGGUAGUUGGUGGGGUAAAGGCUCACCAAGCCAACGAUCUGUAGCUGGUCUGAGAGGACGACCAGCCACACUGGGACUAAGAAACGGCCCAGACUCCUACGGGAGGCAGCAGUGGGGAAUUUUGGACAAUGGGGGCAACCCUGAUCCAGCAAUGCCGCGUGCAGGAAGAAGGCCUUCGGGUAGUAAACUGCUUUUGUACGGAACGAAACGGUCUGGGUUAAUACCCUGGGCUAAUGACGGUACCGUAAGAAUAAGCACCGGCUAACUACGUGCCAGCCGCCGCAGUAAUAC
rnacentral:rRNA from 1 species